UACAGAGGGGGCUAGCGUUAUUCGGAAUUAUUGGGCGUAAAGGGCGCGUAGGCGGCCAUGCGUGUCUUCCGUGAAAUCCCUCGGCUUAACUGAGGACGUGCGGAAGAAACUGCAAGGCUCGAGUCCGGGAGAGGGGGGUGGAAUUCCCAGUGUAGCGGAUGAAAUGCGUAGAUAUGGGAGGAACACCGGUGGCGAAGGCGGCGACCUGGGUCGACACUGACGCUGAGGCGCGAAAGCGUGGGGAGCAAACAGG
rnacentral:rRNA from 1 species